UGUUUUCGUGUUACUAAUUAGCUUCUUUUCAUUUCAGCUUGAAUAACAGCUUUUAGCAUUUCUUGUAAGGCAAAUCGAGAGGUGUCCAGCCUCUGCAUGUGUCCUCUCUGUCUAGAAGCAGUUCUUGCUGAAGGCCCCUGGGAGCUCAGCCGUCCAGCGUCUGCUGGAGAGUCAGGGAGCUUUGUCUGGCCUGGAGUCCUCCCCCAAGAGGGUCCACUCCGUCUGACAGACCCUGGGAGACGGAGCUAUGGGUGGGAAGUCAGCAGCCGAAGCGGCUCAGAACACUUGCGCCGUGACAACAGACCUGCUGUCACUCUGCUGCUGCUGCUGGCCCACGCACGCUGUAUGGGGCCAGACCCUCCUAGCACCCUCGUUCCCACCCUGGAGCUGGUGGUGGCCGAGUGGCGCGGGAGGUAGAGGGAGAAUUUUACUUCCCUUUUGAUAUCAUUCUCUAC
rnacentral:lncRNA from 1 species